rnacentral:rRNA from 1 species
CUCAGAUUGAACGCUGGCGGCAGGCCUAACACAUGCAAGUCGAACGGAACCUUCGGGUUUAGUGGCGAACGGGUGAGUAAUGCCUAGGAAUCUGCCUAUUAGUGGGGGAUAACGAAUCGAAAGGUUCGCUAAUACCGCAUACGUCCUACGGGAGAAAGAGGGGGAUCUUCGGACCUCUUGCUAAUAGAUGAGCCUAGGUCGGAUUAGCUAGUUGGUGAGGUAAAGGCUCACCAAGGCGACGAUCUGUAGCUGGUCUGAGAGGAUGGCCAGCCACACUGGAACUGAGACACGGUCCAGACUCCUACGGGAGGCAGCAGUGGGGAAUAUUGGACAAUGGGCGCAAGCCUGAUCCAGCCAUGCCGCGUGUGUGAAGAAGGCCCUCGGGUUGUAAAGCACUUAAGCGAGGAGGAAGGUCAUCAUACUAAUAUUAUGAUGAAUUGACGUUACUCGCAGAAUAAGCACCGGCUAACUCUGUGCCAGCAGCCGCGGUAAUACAGAGGU